rnacentral:lncRNA from 1 species
AAUAACUAAAAUACAAAUAAUAUUUAAUAUAGCAUACAACUAUCCAAAUAAAAAUUCACCCAGAUGCAAUUAAUACAGUCAUCCAUUGUCAAAAGAACUUGAAAAUUAAUACAUUGAACUUGAGAGUUGGGGUAGUUGCAUAUUCAGGCAUUCCCAGAUUCUCAACACUCAACAUUUAGUAGCAGUCUAGGAACAUUGAUGACAAAACAAAGUAAACCCAUCUGAGACCUCAACUCAAAUUCCCAGCAAGCCAGCAGCAGUAAGAACAUCUCAGAUUCCUAGCAAGUCAGCAACAUUGUAAUCUGGGACCCUUAACUCCAAUGCCAGCAAGUCAGCAAGACAGCAACAUUGAUGGCAAUAACAAAGUAAACAUUUGUCGUAAUUAGAUAAAACUAUCGCUUAUAAAUAAACAAUAA